AGGGUUUUAAGUUAGAUAGACUGUUAGCCUUCAAAGCUGAUAGAGUGUGGGUAGUUCAUGCAGACCUUG
rnacentral:tRNA from 1 species